rnacentral:rRNA from 1 species
GACGAACGCUGGCGGCGUGCCUAAUACAUGCAAGUCGAACGCUUUUCCUUCACCGGAGCUCGCUCCACCGAAAGAAAAAGAGUGGCGAACGGGUGAGUAACACGUGGGUAACCUGCCCAUCAGAAGGGGAUAACACUUGGAAACAGGUGCUAAUACCGUAUAACACUAUUUUCCGCAUGGAAGAAAGUUGAAAGGCGCUUUUGCGUCACUGAUGGAUGGACCCGCGGUGCAUUAGCUAGUUGGUGAGGUAACGGCUCACCAAGGCAACGAUGCAUAGCCGACCUGAGAGGGUGAUCGGCCACACGGGGACUGAGACACGGCCCAGACUCCUACGGGAGGUAGCAGUAGGGAAUCUUCGGCAAUGGACGAAAGUCUGACCGAGCAACGCCGCGUGAGUGAAGAAGGUUUUCGGAUCGUAAAACUCUGUUGUUAGAGAAGAACAAGGAUGAGAGUAAAACGUUCAUCCCUUGACGGUAUCUAACCAGAAAGCCACGGCUAACUACGUGCCAGCAGCCGCAGUAA